UAAUUAGUAUUUGUGUGUGUGUGUGUAUGUGUGUGUGUGUGUGUGUGUAUACAUAUACACAGAGAUAGUUCUGUGUAUACUACA
rnacentral:miRNA from 12 species